rnacentral:tRNA from 1 species
GCCUGGGUGGUGUAAACGGUUAACACACUCAGCUACUAACUGAAAGGUUGGUGGUUCAAAUCCACUCAGGGGUG